GACGAACGCUGGCGGCGUGCCUAAUACAUGCAAGUUGAGCGAUGAAGCUUGGUGCUUGCACCAAUUUGAAGAGCAGCGAACGGGUGAGUAACGCGUGGGGAAUCUGCCUUUGAGCGGGGGACAACAUUUGGAAACGAAUGCUAAUACCGCAUAACAACUUUAAACAUAAGUUUUAAGUUUGAAAGAUGCAAUUGCAUCACUCAAAGAUGAUCCCGCGUUGUAUUAGCUAGUUGGUGAGGUAAAGGCUCACCAAGGCGAUGAUACAUAGCCGACCUGAGAGGGGGACCGGCCAAAGUGGACCUGGGAACCGGCCCAAACCCCUACGGGAGGCAGAAGUAGGGAAUCUUCGGCAAUGGACGAAAGUCUGACCGAGCAACGCCGCGUGAGUGAAGAAGGUUUUCGGAUCGUAAACUCUGUUGGUAGAGAAGAACGUUGGUGAGAGUGGAAAGCUCAUCAAGUGACGGUAACUACCCAGAAAGGGACGGCUAACUACGUG
rnacentral:rRNA from 1 species